GACGAACGCUGGCGGCGUGCUUAACACAUGCAAGUCGAACGAAGUGGCGAACGGGUGAGUAACGAGUAAUCAACCUGCCCUUUAGAGGGGGACAACAGUUGGAAACGAAUGCUAAUACCGCAUACGGAAGGAGGGGAUUGCGUCUGAUUAGCUAGUUGGAGGGGUACCGGCACACCAAGGCGAUGAGCAGUAGCCGUUCUGGGGGGAUGAACGGCCACAUUGGGACUGAGACACGGCCCAGACUCCUACGGGAGGCAGCAGGGGGGAAUCUUCCGCAAUGGACGAAAGUCUGACGGAGCAACGCCGCGUGAGUGAUGACGGCCUUCGGGUUUUAAAGCUCUGUUAAUCGGGACGCGGUACCGGAAUAGAAAGCCACGGCUAACUACGUGCCAGCCGCCGCGGUAAUAC
rnacentral:rRNA from 1 species